UAUAUGUUUGUCCAUGAUGAGUUGAGCUCAACAUCUUUAAGUUAAAAAAAUCUUUCUUUCAAUUCCUGAAGUUCCCAAACCAGUCCCAGAAGAGAAAGUCCCUGUUCCCAAAAAAGUGCCACCUCCAAAAGCUAAAGUGCCUGAAGUUCCUAAACCUGUCCUGGAAGAGGAAGUAGCUGUUCCCAAAAAGGUGCCACCUCCACCAGCCAAAGUGCCUGAAGUUCCCAAACCAGUCCCAGAAGAGGAAGUGCCCGUUCCCAAAAAAGUGCCAGCUCCACCAGCCAAAGUUCCCAAACCUGUCCCAGAAGAGAAAGUCCCUGUUCCCAAAAAAGUGCCAGCUCCACCACCUAAAGUGCCUGAAGUUCCUAAACCUGUCCUGGAAGAGGAAGUAGCUGUUCCCAAAAAGGUGCCACCUCCACCAGCCAAAGUGCCUGAAGUUCCCAAACCAGUUCCAGAAGAGGAAGUGCCCGUUCCCAAAAAAGUGCCACCUCCAAAAGCUAAAGUGCCUGAAGUUCCCACACCUGUCCCAGAAGAGAAAGUGCCUAUUCCCAAAAAAGUGCCACCUCCAAAAGCUAAAGUGCCUGAAGUUCCCACACCUAUCCCAGAAGAGGAAGUGCCUAUUCCCAAAAAAGUUCCAGCACCACCACCAGCCAAAGUGCCUAAAGUUCCCAAACCUGUCCCGGAAGAGGAAGUCCCAGUUCCCAAAAAAGUGCCAGCUCCACCAGCCAAAGUGCCUGAAGUGCCCAAACCUGUCCCAGAAGAGAAAGUGCCCGUUCCCAAAAAGGUGCCAGCUCCUCCUGCUAAAGUGCCUGAAGUUCCCAUACCAGUCGAGGAAGAAGAAGUGCCUGUUCCUAAAAAAGUACCAGCUCCACCAGCCAAAGUUCCCAAACCUGUUCCAGAAGAGAAAGUACCUGUUGCUAAAAAAGUGCCAGCUCCACCAGCUAAAGUCCCUGAAGUUCCCAAAGUAGAGGAGGAAGAGGAAAUAUUUGAAGUUCCCAAAACAGUGCCAUCUCCACCAGCCAAAGUACCUGAAGUUCCCAAGCCUGUCCCAGAAGAAAAAGUAGCAGUUCCCCAAAAAGCUCCACCAGCCAAAGUCCACGAAGUUCCAAAACCUGUCCCAGAAGAGAAAGUGCCGGUUCCCAAAAAGGUGCCACCUCCACCAGCCAAAGUGCCUGAAGUUCCCAAAGCUGUCCUGGAAGAGGAAGUGCCAGUUCCUAAAAAAGUGCCACCUCCACCAGCCAAAGUUCCCAAACCUGUUCCAGAAGAGAAAGUGCCGGUUCCCAAAAAGGUGCCACCUCCACCAGCCAAAGUUCCUAAACCUGUCCCGGAAGAGGAAGUGCCAGUUCCUAAAAAAGUGCCAGCUCCACCAGCCAAAGUGCCUGAAGUUCCCACACCUGUCCCAAAAGAGGAAGUGCCUGUUCCCAAAAAAGUGCCGCCUCCAGCAGCCAAAGUUCCCAAACCUGUCCCAGAAGAGGAAGUGCCCGUUCCCAAAAAGGUGCCAGCUCCACCAGCCAAAGUUCCCAAACCUGUUCCAGAAGAGAAAGUGCCGGUUCCCAAAAAGGUGCCACCUCCACCAGCCAAAGGUACAUAUCAGAUUUUGAAAUUCUGCAGAAAAAAACUAUAUUAAUUCAAAUGCA
ensembl:lncRNA